GAACAUGCAAGGUUCUUACGUCAUUACGUCAUAGUAGCCUCUGUUUAUACCAGCUAGGGAUUGCUCACAGCCUAGGAUUCCAGUGAAGAAGAUCAAUGCUCGGUGGAGGAAAUUUCAUGGGGAAACAUUUUUCAUGUCUGGGCGCCAAUGAAAACUGGGCAAGCGAACCACAGGAAAAUAACCAGACACCCAGUGCCCAGGCCACACCUGCAUUACAGAAAUGCCCUCCUCUGUCUGAUCUUGAAUAAGAGAGAGAGAGAGAGAGAGAGAGAGAGAGAGAGAGAGAGAGAGAGAGAGAAGAGAGAAGAGAGAAGAUUUGUGCUUCAGAGAAUGUUGAAAGUGGGCAGUCUUGGCCUCUCAAAAGUUGACCUUUGAGAGGUGAACUAUCCUCCCUCCAUUCCGUCAGGGCUAAGUGAAACAAGACAGAGGAAUGAGAAUUCUUGUUCAGAAACCUAAAGAACAGGCCCCUGGGGUGGCCAUUUCCCCACACGGAGCCUCAGAACCCUCUUGCUCACGGCGUCUGGAAGGCUUCAAACUACCCAGUGAACCCCCUGCCUGAAGAGAACCAUCAGUCUCCAGAACAUUCCAAAAGCUCCCCGAAGUGUCCAAAUAACGUGAGCCUGUGGGGGAAUUCCUUGCACUCAAACCAUAGCAUUCCAUCCCUGGCCCCUGUGGACUGGAGGUCAGCUCCGAAUGCAGAAAUGCUUCCACAGGACUCCAGAACCUCUCUCCACCUUAAACUUAUCAUGGCGAAAAUAUCCAAGGUCUCUUCUGAGACAAAAACUGACCCUUUAACUGUGAGCUGAUGGAAAAAUCCAAACCAGUUUAUCACAGUCAGCACACAAUGGCACCAAGUAAACCUCAUUGUUCUCAAGGGGAGGGAGAGGUCAAGACAAAAGCAAAACCGAACCCCUUCAGAGCAAACAACAAAUGCUGCAUCUCCACACCAUUGUCUGGUUUCUGGUGGCAUAACCUGGAUUCCCAUGGCCUUGGGUAGCCCCACCUCUACAGCUCUGUUGCACACACAGCUUCUUUCCUGACUAGCUCUACUCAGUACCUUGGGGCUGGUAACUUCUCGUGUUCUUAGCAUCUCCAACAUUGGCCUCUCUGAGGGCUUUCCCCAUACACAUUCUUUGGCCUUACAAUUUGUUUUCUCAUGGUCUGUGGGUUCGAGCAUCCACAGUCCUGCAACCCUUGCAGCAUGCGUGCCUGCAGUACCCGGACCUCAUAGCCAAGCUCUGCUGUCUGCAGUCACCUUAGGAUGUAGCCUGAGUGCCUUGGACCACAGCUGCAGUUCUGUCUGAGGGCCUUUGAGAAUGAACUGGGACAAAUAUUUCCCUAAGGUAGCCCUGCUCAAGGAGGGAACCCCUUCUGCAACGUCCGAUGUCCAGAUACCCCCUUUUAAAAUGACGUUUCUGUUUUAUACCCUGGAA
rnacentral:lncRNA from 14 species